AUCCAGCUGAAGGGUCCGAAUAGGACGAAACGGCGUCCUGGAU
rfam:Schistosoma mansoni strain Puerto Rico chromosome 2, complete genome